ACACAAAUACAAUCACAUUCCCUAUGAUUUUUAAACCCCCACUAUGUUUUCAUAGGCAUGGCUUGAUGUUCUAUAUUCACAUACAAAUACACAUAUACAGGUUUAUUCAUUGUUAUUAUUAGCAUUGAUAUAGCGCCAACAUAUUAUGCUAUACUCUACAUUAAAUAGAAAUUCGUGGAAUAUUGACAAAUAGUGUCUAGUUUUAGGCUAAGAGGAACACUAUAGCGUUAGGAAUACAAACGUGUAGUUCUUAUACUAUAGUGUUAGGCCACUUACUCAGAUUAUUGGUCCCCCCCUUUUUAAAC